rnacentral:lncRNA from 13 species
AUGGAAGCCUACUUGCGUGGAGGUCACAUGGUGAGUGCUUAUCGGUGGAAUGUAAGUAGCAAUGACUGUCACCUCCAGCCAAGGUGGUUAAAAGCGGGUAGGCCUUCUCUACACUCUUGCUUUUCCUUAAUCACCUGGCUGAAUUCAGGGGAUACAGUGGAAGACUCUGGGGCUCCUGGAGAAGGCAAAGUCUAUGCUGGAAGAACACUGAUUUCAAAUGAUUGGGUAGACUAAAACACCCCCAACCUAAUUUCACCUCCUCAGCAUACCUCCUCACUGACCUACACUGGGCUACAACAUGACCCAACAAUAAAACUUUAUUGUUUUAUGCCA